ensembl:snRNA U6 U6 spliceosomal RNA
GUGCUUGCUUCAGCAGCACAUAUCCUAAAAUUGGAACAAUACAGGGAAGAUUAGCAUGGCCUCUAUGCAUGGAUGACAUGCAGAGCUCUGAAGUGUUCCAUAAAAAA